CCAAUAGCGUAUAUUAAAGUUGCUGCAGUUAAAAAGCUCGUAGUUGAAUUUCGGGACCAUCAUGUCGGUCGUGCCUCGGUACGUACUGGUAUUGUUGGUUUCUCCCUUCUGACGAACCAUGAUGUCAUUUAUUUGGUGUUGUGGGAAAUCAGGACUGUUACUUUGAAAAAAUUAGAGUGUUUAAAGCAGGCUCACGCUUGAAUACAUUAGCAUGGAAUAAUGAAAUAGGACGUUUGAUUCUAUUUUGUUGGUUUCUAGGAUCGACGUAAUGAUUAAUAGGGAUAGUUGGGGGCAUUAGUAUUCAAUUGUCAGAGGUGAAAUUCUUGGAUUUAUUGAAGACUAACUACUGCGAAAGCAUUUGCCAAGGAUGUUUUCAUUAAUCAAGAACGAAAGUUAGGGGAUCGAAGACGAUCAGAUACCGUCGUAGUCUUAACCAUAAACUAUGCCGACUAGGGAUCGGAUGAUGUUAAUUUUUUAAUGACUCAUUCGGCGCCUUACG
rnacentral:misc_RNA from 1 species